UAGCAAUACCGAGCGAAGCUAGUGGCGAACGGGUGCGUAACACAUGAGUCAUCUGCCCAGAAGUGGGGAAUAGCUCGGCGAAAGCCGGAUUAAUACCGCAUGUGGUCGUAAGACCAAAGCCGGGGCAACCUGGCGCUUUUGGAGGAGCUCGUGGCCUAUCAGCUAGUUGGUGAGGUAACGGCUUACCAAGGCAACGACGGGUAGCUGGUCUGAGAGGACGACCAGCCACACUGGAACUGAGAUACGGUCCAGACACCUACGGGUGGCAGCAGUCGAGAAUUUUUCUCAAUGGGGGAAACCCUGAAGGAGCGACGCCGCGUGGAGGAUGAAUGCUCUCGGGUUGUAAAACUCCUGUCAUUUGGGAACAAGGGCCUUACGUUAACUGCGUGGAAGGAUUGAUAGUACCAGAAGAGGAAGAGACGGCUAAACUAUGUGCCAGCAGCCCGCGGUAAUAACAGAGGUCUCGAGCGUUGUUCGGAUUCAUUGGGCGUAAAGGGCGGCGUAGGCGGCGGGGUAAGUCUGGUGUGAAAUCUAGGAGCUCAACUCCUAAACUGCACUGGAUACUGCUCUGCUAGAGGACUGGAGAGGAGACUGGAAUUCUCGGUGUAGCAAGGGCGAUUCAGCACCUGGCGCCGUACUAGUG
rnacentral:rRNA from 1 species